GUAAUUUGGAUUCUCAACACACUCUUUUGUCGUCCAUUUUGUGUAAAUUGGUUUUAUCCAUAUUUUGAUAUUUUCAAAUACUGUCAACAUUAACAAUUGUAAUUAAAUUUAGUGAUCCAUGGAAAAGUUAAUUAAUCUCAAGGUUAAUUUGUUGAAUUGUUACACUAUUAAAUGAAAAAAAAGAUGUCAACCUAAAGGAUACAAUUUGUAGCUUGUUGUUGAAUGGUUACAUGUUUUUAAGUGUUGUCUUGUAUACAAUAAUAAUGACGAUUGUGGAUACCAUUAGUCCAUACAAAUGAUCAUCAAUGGUGUUGCAUAUUUAUAUCCUUUGUUUAACAGUAAGGUUUUAAUGCUGAACUCUAUCGAUUCAACUCUUUCAAUAUCCUCACCAUGAAUCUGAACAGAAUCAUCUGAGUUUUCUCUUUCGUUCUCCCUUUCUUUCUGGUUCCAAGAUGGGCCUACAAUAUUAUGACGUCAGUAACCAAGGAAAAGUGUUCGAGAUUAUCGUCUAGGUCAUGAAUUGAAUUCUAGGUCAUCGAUCCAAUACCAUCUCAUGAAACCUGGAUUGUUCGUUUUGUUUUUAUCAUCACCAUGAAUUAGUGUUGGACAAUUAACAGCUAAGGUUGGACAUGAAAUGGCAAUCCUAUCCAACAAUGAAUUUAAAAAUCUUCCGGUAAUACAUUUUGAUUCCAAUUAUCGACUGAAAAUUGGCUACAAAUUAUAACAAUUUAAGGUGUGAUGAUAACUUAAAGCGAUAAUCAUGAUAUUAACAUAAUAAUGGAAACAUCGAUAAUCCAGUCUAUUACAUACAAUUAUCUCAAUCAAAGGAUAUAAAAGAAUCAUCAACCAAUAUUAAUUAUUCAUAACAUUUCUACCUCUCUACUUUCAACGAUAAUUAAAGGUUAAUCAAUGUCCACAAGCAUAAAUCCAUUUUUUGCUCUUUUUCCACCAUUAGUCUGAAUUGAAAUUAAUUAAAUCAAUUUCAGAUUAGGACAGUUUUUUCAUUAAUCUUUCAUCACGAUAAAUCAUGGUUCCGUUAUUGGUAUAAAUUGAAAGUGUAAGGGUAACAUUAGAUUGAAGUAUAUGAGGUUAACCAUUGAAGCAAUGUUGUCAAUACGCUUUGCUUGGAUAUAUCUGGUCAACAAUUCGUGAUCAAUUGAUCAUAAACUGAUGGAUUAAUUGUGAUUUGCAUGACCAAUAGUCUUGUAAAUUGUUGAUUAAACCAUUAACGAGAUCACAACAAUUGUUGAAACCUUUUCUCAACUAAUGUCUUUAUGAACAAAUGUAAUCCAUUAUAAUGUAAAUCUAUCAAAUUUGCUUUACUAAUGUUGGUCAGUUUACGCUUUUUAUAUUCAUUUAUGUUCACUUUUCAGAGCCAUUAAAUGUCGCUUUAUUACCUUCUA